UAUCCACUCCCUUCCCCUCCUCCCGCCGGAGUUUACUCAGGCGAGCCAUACCGCUCCCGCCGUCCGCGAAAACCCUGAGCGGGAGCGAGAAACCCCGAGGCCAGCCAGGAACCCGCGUGCAGAAGGAACGGACUAGCGACGCCUCCCUUCUGCCUUCGCGUGGGGCGCUGCAAGUCCGCAGACUUCAUUUCCCAGCCUCCAUUGCGUGAGGGUCCCAAAGCGGAGCCCACGGGCGCGAUGCUGUGCACUCUGGGCUUUGUAGUCCGUUCGCGUUGAGCGCUCUCUUAGCGGGUUCGCACUCUCCAGCUGGCAGCGGGGGCCCUAGACUUCAAAAGCUUGGCUGGUGACGGGAUUAGCUUCUUACUCCCUCUGACCAAACGCCUGCAGGGCGGGCCUUGCCCUGGCCUAUCUUUAGCUUUCUCAAGUUCUGCGUGGGGAGUUCGGUGGAAACCUCAAAGAGUUGACUGUGUCUUGAGCGGCCAGGCUACUCUUUAAGUGCUGGGAACUUUCCAGGGUCCUAGUCAUCUAUCUUCACUCCUCAGGGAAAAGGCAAGGCAGUCAUUCCACUGUACUCGAGAAGGAUGUACAGGGGCAUCAAUUUACGAAGCCAAGAGAUAUUGAAAAGUGAGACUAUUUGCAGAGAUCGAGGAAACCAUCAAGGGCUUUUCACAAUAGUCAGAUGGACUGAUGUGGUGAGGUUCUGUCAAUGCUGAUUGGUACUGCCAUUGCUGGAGCUUCUUUAUGUAGGGCCAACAUGUGAAACACAAGAGGUGACAGCCCACGUAUCAAGAGCACUGUGACAGCAGGUGUGUCAAGAGCACUG